UACGGAGGGGGCAAGCGUUAUUCGGAUUUACUGGGCGUAAAGGGUGUGUAGGCGGUCGUGCAAGUCUGGUGUGAAAUCUUCACCACUCAACGGGAAGAGGUCACUGGAAACUGCAUGACUUGAGUUUGGUAGAGGCUAGCGGAAUUCCUGGUGUAGCGGUGGAAUGUGUAGAUAUCAGGAAGAACACCGGUGGCGAAGGCGACUCGCUGGACAGGUAUUGACGCUGAGGUGCGAAAGCGUGGGGAGCAAACAGG
rnacentral:rRNA from 1 species